rnacentral:rRNA from 1 species
GGCGGCGUGCCUAAUACAUGCAAGUCGAGCGAGCGGAACCAACAGAUUUACUUCGGUAAUGACGUUGGGAAAGCGAGCGGCGGAUGGGUGAGUAACACGUGGGGAACCUGCCCCUAAGUCUGGGAUACCAUUUGGAAACAGGUGCUAAUACCGGAUAAUAAAGCAGAUCGCAUGAUCAGCUUUUGAAAGGCGGCGUAAGCUGUCGCUAAGGGAUGGCCCCGCGGUGCAUUAGCUAGUUGGUAAGGUAACGGCUUACCAAGGCGACGAUGCAUAGCCAAGUUGAGAGACUGAUCGGCCACAUUGGGACUGAGACACGGCCCAAACUCCUACGGGAGGCAGCAGUAGGGAAUCUUCCACAAUGGACGCAAGUCUGAUGGAGCAACGCCGCGUGAGUGAAGAAGAUUUUCGGAUCGUAAAGCUCUGUUAUUGGUGAAGAAGGAUAGAGGUAGUAACUGGCCUUUAUUUGACGGUAAUCAACCAGAAAGUCACGGCUAACUACGUG